GAAGGAUGUAGCUCAGUGGUAGAACAUUGGCCUUGCACUCAGAAGGUACCAAGUUCAAUUCAAUCCUUGCUGUCUUCA